rnacentral:rRNA from 1 species
UAAAACUUUCAACAACGGAUCUCUUGGCUCUCGCAUCGAUGAAGAACGCAGCGAAUUGCGAUAAGUAAUGUGAAUUGCAGAAUUCAGUGAAUCAUCGAAUCUUUGAACGCACCUUGCGCUCUCUGGUAUUCCGGAGAGCAUGCCUGUUUCAGUGUC